CCCGACCAUGUUUAUCAUUAAUAGUUUCUUGAGAAUUAUAAACGUUCCCCUUCGGGAUCUUUACAAAAACCAACAAGAAUAAUAAUCCAAUGCUCACAAUCCUAUGUCCGAUAAAGAAUACAUCUUGUCUAUCAACUAGCAUGUCUUUCUACCCUUCUCAGCCAACCAAUUAAACAAUGCCAAAAAGUGAUGGAAAAAAAUAAAAAAUAAAAGCCAACUACGAGGAUUUUGCUUUACGGAGUAAAAUAUUGAACAGAUAUUGUCAUCUUUGUGUAGAGAGACGAGUCUUGAUUGGUUUUAACUUGAGUCCCAUAUUUUCUGGAGAGAGAAGCUCGGGUGCUAUGCAAGAAAGAGGACUCCUUGGGCUCCCACUAAUCUUAACCCGUCGAUACAGACCAUAUCCCAUGAGAAAAUACUCCAUCGGUAUUAACAUUGCGUGUGGCUGCUCCUCCGUCACCAUUGAUCCACAAGCCUGUACCUGUUCACAACAAUUAUUUCAAUUAACUAAUUGACGGGACCCAGGAAUAGUCGAAGCCAUACCCAAUCGAAAAGGAUGUUAUCCAAGCGCAUUUUGGAGAUGUAUGCACAAGAUAAAGUAAAGUAGUAGUGGAGAAAGGAAAGAAUAGAAAAAAAUCUACACUCUAGGGAUGAGAAACAUAGAAUUGGCAUUUAGUGAGCAGUAUCAGACAUUACGGGGCACUAUAGAAUUUAGCUUUUUUUUCUUUCUUAAUAUGGUGUAGUGCAGUAAAGUCCAUCUUACCUAACAAGUUAUUAAUGGAAUGCAUCUAGUUCUCUAAUGCAGAAGCUGUUAGCUUGAUACCCAUUCUUCGAGUAGUGUUCUGUAAAAUCACAUUAUGAUUUGACGUUCGUUUAUUUGCGUGUUAUAAUUUGAAGUGAUUGUCUAAGGUUCUAUGAUCACAUAGGAUGUCACAAAUUGUAUACUCAAUGGAUCGAGUAUAGUAACACACAAUUUGUGAUGUGAUCAAAACUAUGUCGUUCACAAUCGGUUCAUAAAGUUGGACGCUUUAUGUUAAUAAAAUUGUAUUGUUCUUAUUAAGAUUUGUCUAGAUCUUGAAAUAUGAACAAUAAUGUGUUUCGAUGCACAUUGAACGGGACCGUGUAGAUGAUUCAUUUGUGACCGUUUUAAAUGAGACUCUACUUGAUUAUCAAAUAGGUCACAUAAAUCCUAAGUGAUUAAUGUACCUUUGAUUGUUAGUUCAAGUUCUUUGAGG
rnacentral:lncRNA from 1 species